GGGGCUGUAGCUCAGUGGUAGAGUAGUUGCCUAGCACAUGUGAGGCACUGAAUUUGAUCCUUAGCACCUAAUAAUAAGUAAAUAAAUAAAGAAAGAAAGAAAGAAAGAAAGAAAGGUAUAUUUUGUCAAUCACAACUAAAAGUUAUAAGAAAAAAGUAGGUUAUAUUACCAAGGAUGGGAUGUAGCUCAGUAACAGUGUUCAUUCCUAUCAAGACCAAUGGCAGGGGUGCCAUCCCAAGCCCCA
rnacentral:tRNA from 1 species